UUUUCUACUAUAUAAGAUAAGAUAAGAUAGCUUUUUGUGUUAUUCUCUCAUAGCUCUUGACAAUGCUGCAAACAGCCAAUUAUAAAUCUUCCACUAAAGAAUCUAUGACUAUUAUCAUAACUUGUCGUGACAAUGGAUUUAAACCAAAAUCACCAAAAAGUACCGGAAGUGGAGGAGGGGGAAGUGAUCCAAAAACAAAUAGUAUACUUCAAAGCACAGCAAGAAGUCUUCAACUUGAUAGCCUUAUUAAUUAUGUCACCAACAACUUGAGUGUCAUUGAUCAUGAUGAUGAAAAUAGAAGUCCUAAAAGGAUUGGCAUGCAACAAAUACUUCAUGCUGAAAAUUAUAUUUUUCCAAAAAGAAACAUGAAUUCACCAUGAUCUCAAUAGUUGUAAUUAUGUAACUAGAGGCUCCGAAUACUGAAUAAUUUAUGAUAA